UUCCAUAGUUACAAAUACCACCAAACUCCGUCGAUUAGUCAUUCGUGUAGAGUGUAGCGAGAAAAUGAUAUGUUUGUGAUCUCAACCAUACUAUCAUUUUUUUCGUUAGUCCUCAAUUUCUCUCAAAUGCAUUAAAGCCAGAGAAAUUAUAUGGUCCAUAAGAUACCACAAGUCCAAGCUCCAAAACAAUGUUGACUACCGCGGUAUAAUGAUCU
rnacentral:lncRNA from 1 species